CGACGUUGCCGGGGAAACUUGCGAGGCUGCGGAGGCGCGACAACCCCUAAAUACGCUACGCAGGAGAGACGCGGGGGAGUGGGAAGCGAGUUUUUUCUCCCGGGGAAGAGGCUGCGGGGCUCGUAAUGGUGGAGAGAAAUCGACGAGUCUGCGCACUCCAAUUUGAGAAGUCUCCUGGCAAGCGCAAGCACGAAGGGAGAGAGAAAGCUCGCGCGCACAAGAAGACGAAGUGCGCCGGAGAGAGGACGAAAAGCUCGGGAGCUCAGAAGAGUUGCAAGCUCUCGCUAACAGUUAGGAGCUCUAUAUAGCAAGUGGCCGCGGUGCGCUAACCGACGGAGGAGGAGAAGCAGUGGCAGCAGCAACUAACGGCCGAGGCCGGGUGUAAAUUAGGGACUCGCCAACUUCGCAUCUUGCCCCGACGCGUCACGGGGCUUUGCGAGGAUGCGUGCGCGGCGCGAGGAGAUUUCCGAGGAAGACUUUCGGAGGCGUGUCUCUGGGGAAGGGAAAUUAUUUUCAUUUUUUGCGUCGCGAACGCAGGCUUGGUUAAAUAAUAAUGAGUUCAUUAGGACUUCAAUAUGUUGCGCAUAAACAUUCGAUUCGUUUAGGUCUCAUUCAAUUAAUCCGUUCCGAGCCACUAAGUUUGCGAAUUCAGCAGACAGUUGAUAAAUUCUAAAGCGCACGCUCAAUUAGCAACAUUCGUAUCAUAACAAAGCGACGCAGUUCGAAAUUGCUUGUAACGAGUUAGGGCACCUUCAAUAACAAUCAAUGACAAUAAUGGA